rnacentral:rRNA from 1 species
CCUACGGGUGGCAGCAGUGGGGAAUAUUGGUCAAUGGGCGCAAGCCUGACCCAGCAACGCCGCGUGAAGGAAGAAGGCUUUCGGGUUGUAAACUUCUUUUGUUAGGGACGAAGCAAGUGACGGUACCUGACGAAUAAGCCACGGCUAACUACGUGCCAUCAGCCGCAGUAAUACGUAGGCGGCAAGAGUUAUCCGGAUUUACUGGGUGUAAAGGGCUUGUAGGCGGGACUGCAAGUCAGAUGUGAAAACCACGGGCUCAAACUGUGGCCUGCAUUUGAAACUGUAGUUCUUGAGUAAUGGAGAGGCAGACGGAAUUCCUAGUGUAGCGGUGAAAUGCGUAGAUAUUAGGAGGAACACCAGUGGCGAAGGCGGUCUGCUGGACAGCAACUGACGCUGAGGCGCGAAAGCGUGGGGAGCAAACAGGAUUAGAUACCCGUGUAGUC